rnacentral:lncRNA from 1 species
AGGAUGCACGAUGCUGGCAUCUGCUAGGCUUCUAGGGAGGCCUCAGGAAGCUCACAAUCAUGGUGGAAGAGUGGACGGGGCAAGAGGAAGAGGAAGAGAGAGGAAACUUCGGAAGGAGUGGAGUCAUUCUGGGAAGAGGGAAUGUUGAGAAAGGCACAGCUUUAAGAAGCCUGUGUAAGGGCUAGGGGAUGGGGGCAGGGACAAGAAAUAGGGAUGUCCUGACCAGCUCCUGGGUUUCUGGCUUUGCUGAGCAGAGAACAUAUGAAGGAGACACAGGCUUGGGGAGAAGAUGGACAUUUCAGUUGUUGAUGUGUUAAGUGGGAGGUGCUGUUUAUACCACUGAGUGGACAUCUCAAGGGAGCAAGUAGAUAAACAGUUGGCCCUCCGUAUCCACAGGUUCCAUAUCUACGAAUUCAGCCAACCUCAGAUCAUACAAAUGAAAAAUACAAUAGAACAACUAUUUACAUGGUAGCAUUUACAUUGUAUUAGGUAUUGUAGGUAAUCUAGAGAUGAUUUAAAGUAUAUGGGAGGAUGUAUACGGCUUGUAUGCAAAUACUAUUGAGGGAAGAGAGAGACCCUCUCAUAUUGUUUUAUAUUGUUUUAUACUCAGUACCUGUUUUUUAAA